ACCAGUAACUGAUUCUUCAUAUUCAGCAACAGUACCUUCAGAACAAGCCCAAGCUGGAAAAGAUGGCCAAAGAAGUUCAUCAAAGCGCAAGAAGAAAAAGAGGCAUAGCAAGGGCCAUUCAAGUGGUGCAGCAAGACAGAAAAAAUAAAAAGCGUGCUAUUCAGUGGCCUCAGCUAUUGAAAGAAGCCAUAGUAAUAGGGUGCAGUUAAUUUUUGUCUGGAGUUACUUGAUAGGGAGUAAUUAAUAUUAAAAUUUAUGAUAUAUCCAGACUUGGAAGCACCCUCAGCCUGUGCCUUAUACAAAAUUCUUAUCCCAAAAUAAUUUUCUUGUACUUUGGAGCCAUGGAAUCAACACCCAAUGGACAAAAUUGUUCAGCAUAAGGUGAAGAAGGAGAUAUGAUCUAAAACACAGAGCUGGAACAAGUUGAAGCUAACACAGUCAUCUUUUGAAUUUAACACAGAAAAUGUUAAAAGUUUUAUGGCACCAAUCUCAUGUUUAGAUAAUGUCAGUGUAGGAAAUACAAUCCAACAAGGCCUGAUUUUGCAAAGAUCUGUGUUUGAGUUAACAACAUCCUUCAAUUUGAUUGUGCUAUACGUUACACCAGGUUGAAGCAAACAAUUUUUGUGAUACUAUCAGGUAUAUAUCACAUUCCUGUUUUUACACGACUUGUUACUCUAAGGAUUAGACAAAAGAGAUUUGUUUUAAAGAAAAUUAGUAAUAAUCCUAAUAUCACCCAGGUAGUUGACUGCCACCUAGUGGCAAAGGUAUGCAGUUACUGUCUAUAUGAACACAUGAAUUAGUCUACAUGUUUACCCCAUCCUUUUUCUCACUACAAGCACUGCGACACUUCUUUUCAAGAAAACUUCCUCCCAAAGUAAUGUUAUUAUUAAUGCAAUCAAUUAACCCUUUUUUGUGAUUGUGGUAGUAAAUGUGUUUGGGGAUAGGGAUAUCUUUUUCUUGUUGCCUAUGUAUAACAUUAAUGAAAAUAUUUUAGCGUUAAUAUUGGGAAUGUGAUUCCCUUUUAUCAUAAAAACUGAAAUAAUUUUUCAUAGUUUAUAAAUACUAUUGAGAUAAUUUCAGAUUUAUAAAUAGCUGUUCCCUUUUGUAUAUUCACUUACAUGAGACUGAAGGUGAAGAAAUUAUUUUAUAAGCUGAAUCUAGCAAUUAUAAUUAUUUGGAAAGAAGAUAUUGACUGAGAGAUAUCCUGCUGAAAUAAACUAAUGCUGUGUUAUAGUGGGCUUUGCAAAGCUAACUUUGAUUUCCUCUCCAGAUCUGUUGGGACGGUCUUCCCAAAUACCCAGAAAGCAUCUUCCUUUUCAAGGUCUCCAUAUGAAAGCUUUUUAAAAUUACUAAGAUGGGGAAAAAGUACUCCAGACCUAUUGCACUACAGCACCUUUAAUAAUAGGAAGCAUGGUGACCCAGUGGCUUAAUGACACUGGAGAUUGUCUCAGCUCUGGGAGUUUGAGCCCAAGCACUGUAUAGCAGGGUGAGCUCCUGUCGCUCACCUCAGCUUUUGUGCACCUAAGAGUUCAAAAGCAUAUUCUAUACAAGUAGACAGUUAGGUACCACUUCAGUGGGGAGAUGAACUUGUGCUCUGUGCAGGAGUCAGGUUCCUGAUGGUUCUGAACCUUUCCACUUGUGGCACCCAUUUGCAAGGCAGCAAUGGGAAGAGAGAGGGGCCUUGGGUGAUGCUGCAGAAAGAGCCCCUCAUCUUUCUCUCUGGUAUGAAGCCAGCUUGCCCUCUCGUGGCACAUCUUGGGAAGCACAUAAGCAUGUUCUAUAAUAGGGCUGGUACCUUGGCAAGCAAAACUACUACUCUGCAAUAGCAUUGUGGUUUCCUGGCUACUGUAACAAUGCUAUACGCUGAUAAUAAUAAACUCUAAUAGUAUAAUACAAUGGUUCUCAACCUCUAGUCAAUGGACCUCUGCAGGGCUGCGAUGCCAUCACAGGGGUUCCACGAAGGAUUGAAGAAAUGUUAUGAUUUAAAUCUUGAGUUAACUCUUGGUAAUCCGUGGCCAUGGUCUGUGGCCAUAAAAGGUAUUUAAAGGGGUCCACGGUGAAGAAAAAGUUGAGAACCAGUGGUAUAGUACAUCUAGAGGAUAUCAGAAUGAAAGAGGAUGUUGCAAUUUUUGGAGAUGAGAGCAAUUUCUGAACACUGGAUAUUACCUUCCUCCAAUCAUAUUAAAUUAUAUAAUAGGGCAUCUCCUAUUUUCAUUGUACAUAAAAGCAGUGAGUUCCAAGGUGUCACAAAGUGAUAAAUUAGGAGAGUGGGCUCGUAUAGUUGAGUCUUUUUACUUCUGCAUGCUGUUGUAGUUAUCAAAUUUUCCAUUUUUUAAUAGAAUUGUUUUCCCUGCCAACCCAAGUCAACAAUAGUAUUUGUCAUUAUUUUGUUAUGAUGAAAUCUACAGUAAGAGUAUGAAUGAGCCUUCUGAUGGUUCUACAGCAUAACAUCUCCACGUUUGUGUUUAUAUCUUUGUGUGUAUUUGCUUAGGUCACAUACAUUUGGCACAAUAAACUUGCUUUCAUUUAA